UUGAUCAAGAGUAUUUAGAAACUUAUCACUAAUUAAUGUAUGUCUCAAAUUCUCAACACCUUAAAAAUAUACAAAAUCAUCUUUGUUAAUUUCUAGGACAAAUCAUGGAUAAAAAAAUAUGAUUGGAAUAAAACUAUCCUUUAUUAAUAAUAAAAAUAUUACAAGUAUAAAAGUAAAUCCUAAAAUUAUAAAAUAUGUCAGCCAACAAUUGACUUCUAGGGCACUCAUCUAAUGAACUCCCACUUGACCUAAAGCCAAUUAGUCAUAUACC
rnacentral:lncRNA from 1 species